GUCAGUCCCCUCUAUAUAUACAGUAUGUCUCUAUGUAGGACUCCUAGUAUGUAGGACCCCUAGUCAGUCCCCUCUCUAUAUACAGUAUGUCUCUAUGUAGGACUCCUAGUAUGUAGGACCCCUAGUCAGUCCCCUCUCUAUAUACAGUAUGUCUCUAUAUAGGACUUUUAGUCAGUCCCCUCUCUCUUGAUAUACAUUAUGUCUCUAUAUAGGAUCCCUAGUCAGUCCCCUCUCUCUCCCUAUAUACAGUAUGUCUCUAUGUAGGACUCCUAGUCAGUCCCCUCAUACAUAUAUAAUAUAUAUAUACAUACAUAUAUAUAUUAUAUAUAUAUAUAUAUAUAUAUAUAUAUAUAUAUAUGUGUGUGUGUAUAUAUAUAUGUAGGACUCCUAGUAUGUAGGACCCCUAGUCAGUCCCUUCUCUCUCUCAUAUAUAUAUAGGACCCCAGCGCAAGUAAAAUGUUAAAAUGUAAAAUGGCUAUGCAUUCUAAGUAGUAUGCUAGUAUGGAAAUGGAAAUAGUAGUGGCGUUCCCUCCCUAUCUAUCACUCAGGGGCUGCCCCACAGGUGUCAUUUCAACAUCCAGUUUUCAAAUCCCCAAACAUGUGAACUGUGUUAUAGGAUUUCGGUUAAAAAUAUUCAAAAUGUCAAAAUUACUUUUUUGCAAAUCAAAUUAUUUUUCCACAUUGAUUCAAUGUUAUCACAAUGAUAUGUAUUUUUUUUGUGUACAACAACAUUGUCCCAACCAGUUGGUGCCCAGUAGGAACCUGUCACUCAGAGGCUGCCCCACCACUUGUUGAGAUACACCUCUCCACCACCCUGACCUGUCUCCAGGUGUCUAUUAUCACCCUCCUCCCAGCGUAGGAUCUCUCCAUCUUCCACCAGCACCAACUUCCAUUCCACCUGCUUCUCCGCAGGGAGGACGACCCAGCUGGCCCAGAACCCGUCUUGGGCUCUCUCCAGCGGAACGAAUCCCGUCCAGCUCCCCAGCUCCUGCUGGUUCCCUGUCACAGCCAGCUCCUGCCAGGGAGACUGGGUGCGGUAGUGGACACAGAACCUCACCCGUACAGUCUUGGGUUUGACAGGAAGCACAGCUGCCAUAUUUUUAUUCCUACGCAGGUGUCCAUCUUUGGCUCCUGUUUCUUUAACCUCCUUGAAUGCGGUUGCGUCAGCCACCGGUGGAUCGUCUAAAUUGUGAUGCGUUUCUGUGGGAUGAUGCUCCGCCACAGCAGAAGAGCAUUCGAUGGACGAGUGGCUUAUACUCACCCAUGGUGAGUCACUGUUGUCCUCUGUGCCGCUGACUGUCAUCCAUUCAUUAUAGUCCAUCGUGGCUUCCAUUAUGUUAAUUUCAACUUUCUCAUAACUCUCCUCUAUCCGUGUAUCAUCACUCUGUCUUUUCUUCUCCUCUCUACACGUGUGUCCUUGCUGUUAUUAUCAACGAUGUCUCCUUUCCUCUCAGCCACAUGGGUGUCUCUAACAUCAGUUGGCUGGCUCAACCCAUCAAUGACAUAGUCAUGAAGUAGACAGUCCUUCCUCCAAAGAUCCUCUACCAUAGCUUCCAUGUCAAGAUCCUCUACCAUAGCUUCUUUCAUAUCGUCUUCUACUGUCCUCUCAGAGACUGACGGCACAUGGCUGGUCAUGUCUGCACCUGGGUAUUCUACUUCCUGUAUCUCUGAAUCACACACAUGGCCAGUGUCACUCAAAGCCACCUCGGGGAGAUUUUCAUCCUGAGGCUCAUUGUCAAAGGUAACAUGAUUGUUUGCCUCAACGUCUGGGCAUUCUACAUCCUGUAUCUCUGUAUCACACACAUGGUCAAGUUCUUUAGUCUUGGUGUCAGUCAAUAUCAUGUCAGGUAGAUAUUCAUUGGGAUGUUCUGAUUCCUGAGUGUCGCUGACAAAGGAAACCUGGCUGUCCAUAUAAUCACUUGUACAUUCUACUUCCUGUAUUUCUUCUUCACAUAAAUUGCCAGGUUCUUGGAGGUCAGUGUCACUCAAAAUCUCUGGGAUGUUUUCACUGAGAUGUUCUGGACCUUCAGUGAUUACCUCAUCUGGAUAUUCUACUCCCACUUCCUCUCUCUCCACCUCAUACACAUGUUCCGGUUCUAUCUCAGGGAGAUUUACACUUUCCUGGACUUUGGCAAAAGCAACAUGGCUGUGUCUAUCAUCAUCCGGAUAUUCUACUUCCUCUCUCUCUUUAUCCGACACAUGUUCAGUGUCAGUCAAUGUCAUCUCCGGCCUCUCUUCCUGAGGCUCGUUGGAAAAGACAACAUGGCUGGUCAUGUCAUCAUCGGGGUAUUCUACUUCCUGUAUCUCUGUAUCACACACAUGUUCAGGCCGAGGUUCUGUAAGGUCAGAGUCAGUCAAUAUCAUGUCAGGGAGAUUUCCAUUGAGCUCUUCCAGAUCUCUCUGAGGCUUGAUGGCAAAGGCAUGUGGAUGGUUUACCUCGGACUCCUCCUCUGUGCUCUCACAUUGACAAUCAUCACUCAGUUCAACUUCCUUCAAACCCUCCUCGUCCUGGUUAUACACAUCUGUAUCCUUCUCAUGUCCAGAUUGAUAGUUUAUGUCACUGAGGGAAUAGUGACUGGUAGAAGCCUGCUCCUCUUGAUCCACGGUACAGUCAGUCUGGGACUCGGCGUCGUCCUGACAUAAGCCUUCGUAGAACUGACAUAAGCAUUCACUGCAAUGACACAAGCCUCCACAGACCUGACAUAAGCCGUCAUAGUGCUGACAUAUGCCUUCACAGUGCUGUUGAGGUUGAGAGCCGAGGUGAAACUCCUCAACGAUCUGCCACUCAGCAUAUGACUCCCACGUGUAAGGACCAUCGCUCUCAUUGGUUGUUGUUCGGAUCCGUCUAAUGGGUUGUAGAUCCUCAUUGGUUGCUGUUCGGAUCCGUCUAAUUGGUUCUAGAUCCUCAUUGGUUGCUGUUCGGAUCCAUCUAAUUGGUUCUAGAUCCUCAUUGGUUAGUGUUCGGAUGCGUCUAAUGGGUUCUAGAUCCUCAUUGGUUAGUGUUCGGAUGCGUCUAAUGGGUUGUAGAUCCUCAUUGGUCCGUGCUCGGAUCUGUUUAAUGGGUUCUAAAUCUUCAUUGGUUGUUGUUCGGAUCCUUGUAAUGGGUUCUAUAUCAUCAAUGGUUAUUGUUGGGAUCCCCUCAAUGGGUUCUACACCUUCAUUGGUGGUUGGGAUCCCCUCAAUGGGUUCUACACCUUCAUUGGUGGUUGGCAUCCCCUCAAUGGGUUCUACAUCCUCAUUGGUUAUUGUUGGGAUCCCCUCAACGGGUUCUACACCUUCAUUGGUUGUUGCUGAGAUCCCCUCAAUGGGUUCUACAUCCUCAUUGGUUAUUGUUGGGAUCCCCUCAAUGGGUUCUACACCUUCAUUGGUUGUUGCUGAGAUCCCCUCAAUGGGUUCUACAUCCUUAUUGGUGGUUGGGAUCCCCUCAAUGGGUUCUACAUCCUCAUUGGUUGUUGGAAUCCAUUCCAUUGGCUCUCUCCUCCAUUCCUCUCCAUCCCAGCUCUCCAGUGUCUCUGGCACGACUUCUUCACCCUCCU
rnacentral:lncRNA from 1 species